CCAGACUCCUACGGGAGGCAGCAGUGGGGAAUAUUGCACAAUGGGGGAAACCCUGAUGCAGCGACGCCGCGUGAGCGAUGAAGUAUUUCGGUAUGUAAAGCUCUAUCAGCAGGGAAGAAAAUGACGGUACCUGACUAAGAAGCCCCGGCUAACUACGUGCCAGCAGCCGCGGUAAUACGUAGGGGGCAAGCGUUAUCCGGAUUUACUGGGUGUAAAGGGAGCGUAGACGGCUGUGCAAGCCAGAUGUGAAAGCCCGGGGCUCAACCCCGGGACUGCAUUUGGAACUGUGUGGCUGGAGUGCUGGAGAGGCAAGCGGAAUUCCUGGUGUAGCGGUGAAAUGCGUAGAUAUCAGGAGGAACACCGGUGGCGAAGGCGGCCUGCUGGACUGCGACUGACGUUGAGGCCCGAAAGCGUGGGGAGCAAACAGGAUUAGAUACCCCUGUAA
rnacentral:rRNA from 1 species